AAACUAUGUAAUCUAUGUAUACACACAACUACCAUAACUUGGAUCAGCAGUAACGACUUGACCAGUACCAGUAAAAUUACACGCCUCUUCAGUGCUUCCGUGAUUCUGGUAGAAAUCAUUCAUCACAAAUGAUGCAUGACUAACAAGAGUAUCCGGAUCAAAGCAAGAUCCACCAGGAUUGAUUGUUGCACAAUCAACUUUUCCUUCACUACAUGCCCAAUCAAUAUUAGCUUGUAAUUGUGUACUUGCCGCCGAUACAUUUGCCACACACCAUGUUUUGGCCGAGACAUGAAGAGGGUGGAUUACAACGAGAGAGAAAAGGAAUACAACUGUCAAUUGCGGAAACAUUGUGGUGUUUUACUUGUGAAUAAUAAUUUUAAAGAUAUUAUAAUAUAUAUAAUAAAAUAAUAUUGUGG